AGAGCGAACGCUGGCGGCAUGCUUAACACAUGCAAGUCGCACGGGCAGGGGCAACUCUGUCAGUGGCGGACGGGUGAGUAACGCGUAGGUAUCUAUCCUUGGGUGGGGGACAACUGUGGGAAACUACAGCUAAUACCGCAUGAUGACCGAGGUCUAAAGGCGUCCGGGGUAACCUGGUGCGUCGCCUGAGGAGGAGCCUGCGUACGAUUAGCUAGUUGGUGGGGUAAAGGCCUACCAAGGCGACGAUCGUUAGCUGGUCUGAGAGGAUGAUCAGCCACAUUGGGACUGAGACACGGCCCAAACUCCUACGGGAGGCAGCAGUGGGGAAUAUUGGACAAUGGGCGCAAGCCUGAUCCAGCAAUGCCGCGUGUGUGAAGAAGGUCUUCGGAUUGUAAAGCACUUUCGACGGGGACGAUGAUGACGGUACCCGUAGAAGAAGCCCGGCUAACUUCGCGCCAGCAGCCGCGGU
rnacentral:rRNA from 1 species